AUUGAACGCUAGCGGCAUGCUUUACACAUGCAAGUCGAACGAGUGGCGGACGGGUGAGUAAUAUAUCGGAACCUGCCCAGUAGCGGGGGAUAACUACUCGAAAGAGUGGCUAAUACCGCAUACUAUAGUCGCGGCCCAUGUUGGAUUAGCUAGUUGGUGGGGUAAAGGCUCACCAAGCCAACGAUCCGUAGCUGGUUUGAGAGGAUGACCAGCCACACUGGGACUGAGAAACGGCCCAGACUCCUACGGGAGGCAGCAGUGGGGAAUUUUGGACAAUGGGGGCAACCCUGAUGCAGCCAUCCCGCGUGUAUGAGAAGGCCUUCGGGUUGUAAAGGUCUUUUGUCAGAGAGGCGGUAUCUGCAGAAUAAGCACCGGCUAACUACGUGCCAGCAGCCGCGGUAAUAC
rnacentral:rRNA from 1 species